rnacentral:rRNA from 1 species
UGGGGAAUUUUGGACAAUGGGCGAAAGCCUGAUCCAGCAAUGCCGCGUGUGUGAAGAAGGCCUUCGGGUUGUAAAGCACUUUUGUCCGGAAAGAAAUCCUUGGCUCUAAUACAGUCGGGGGAUGACGGUACCGGAAGAAUAAGCACCGGCUAACUACGUGCCAGCAGCCGCGGUAAUACGUAGGGUGCAAGCGUUAAUCGGAAUUACUGGGCGUAAAGCGUGCGCAGGCGGUUUGCUAAGACCGAUGUGAAAUCCCCGGGCUCAACCUGGGAACUGCAUUGGUGACUGGCAAGCUAGAGUAUGGCAGAGGGGGGUAGAAUUCCACGUGUAGCAGUGAAAUGCGUAGAGAUGUGGAGGAAUACCGAUGGCGAAGGCAGCCCCCUGGGCCAAUACUGACGCUCAUGCACGAAAAGCGUGGGGAGCAAAACAGGAUUAGAUACCCUGGUAGUCCACGCCCUAAACGAUGUCAACUAGUUGUUGGGGAUUCAUUUCCUUAGUAACGUAGCUAACGCGUGAAGUUGACCGCCUGGGGAGUACGGUCGCAAGAUUAAAACUCAAAUGAAUUGACGGGGUCAUAGCUGUUUCCU